rnacentral:rRNA from 1 species
AGACCCGAAACCCGGUGAUCUAGCCAUGGGCAGGUUGAAGGUUGGGUAACACUAACUGGAGGACCGAACCGACUAAUGUUGAAAAAUUAGCGGAUGACCUGUGGCUGGGGGUGAAAGGCCAAUCAAACCGGGAGAUAGCUGGUUCUCCCCGAAAGCUAUUUAGGUAGCGCCUCGUGAAUUCAUCUCCGGGGGUAGAGCACUGUUUCGGCCAGGGGGCCAUCCCGGCUUACCAAUCCGAUGCAAACUGCGAAUACCGGAGAAUGUUAUCACGGGAGACACACGGCGGGUGCUAACGUCCGUCGUGAAGAGGGAAACAACCCAGACCGCCAGCUAAGGUCCCAAAGUCAUGGUUAAGUGGGAAACGAUGUGGGAAGGCCCAGACAGCCAGGAUGUUGGCUUAGAAGCAGCCAUCAUUUAAAGAAAGCGUAAUAGCUCACUGGUCGAGUCGGCCUGCGCGGAAGAUGUAACGGGGCUAAACCAUGCACCGAAGCUGCGGCAGCGAACGUAUCACCCAAGACAACUUUGCACAGUUGACGAUUGACGGAGCGAAGCGACGUCAAAGCGUUUUACAACGUCGAGUUGGCUUAGGGAUACGUUCGUUGGGUAGGGGAGCGUUCUGUAAGCCGUUGAAGGUGUGUCGUGAGGCAUGCUGGAGGUAUCAGAAGUGCGAAUGCUGACAUAAGUAACGAUAAAGCGGGUGAAAAGCCCGCUCGCCGGAAGACCAAGGGUUCCUGUCCAACGUUAAUCGGGGCAGGGUGAGUCGACCCCUAAGGCGAGGCCGAAAGGCGUAGUCGAUGGGAAACGGGUUAAUAUUCCCGUACUUGGUGUUACUGCGAAGGGGGGACGGAGAAGGCUAUGUUGGCCGGGCGACGGUUGUCCCGGUUUAAGCGUGUAGGCUGACUUUCCAGGCAAAUCCGGAGAGUCAAGGCUGAGGCGUGACGACGAGGCACCACGGUGCUGAAGCAACAAAUGCCCUGCUUCCAGGAAAAGCCUCUAAGCCUCAGGUAACAUCAAAUCGUACCCCAAACCGACACAGGUGGUCAGGUAGAGAAUACCAAGGCGCUUGAGAGAACUCGGGUGAAGGAACUAGGCAAAAUGGUGCCGUAACUUCGGGAGAAGGCACGCUGACACGUAGGUGAAGCGGUUUACCCGUGGAGCUGAAGUCAGUCGAAGAUACCAGCUGGCUGCAACUGUUUAUUAAAAACACAGCACUGUGCAAACACGAAAGUGGACGUAUACGGUGUGACGCCUGCCCGGUGCCGGAAGGUUAAUUGAUGGGGUCAGCGCAAGCGAAGCUCCUGAUCGAAGCCCCGGUAAACGGCGGCCGUAACUAUAACGGUCCUAAGGUAGCGAAAUUCCUUGUCGGGUAAGUUCCGACCUGCACGAAUGGCGUAAUGAUGGCCAGGCUGUCUCCACCCGGGACUCAGUGAAAUUGAACUCGCUGUGAAGAUGCAGUGUACCCGCGGCAAGACGGAAAGACCCCGUGAACCUUUACUAUAGCUUGACACUGAACACUGGUCCUUGAUGUGCAGGAUAGGUGGGAGGCUUUGAAGUGUGGACGCCAGUCUGCAUGGAGCCAUCCUUGAAAUACCACCCUUUAAUGGCUGGUGUUCUAACGUGGACCCGUAAUCCGGGUUGCGGACAGUGUCUGGUGGGUAGUUUGACUGGGGCGGUCUCCUCCUAAAGAGUAACGGAGGAGCACGAAGGUUGGCUAAUCCUGGUCGGACAUCAGGAGGUUAGUGCAAUGGCAUAAGCCAGCUUGACUGCGAGCGUGACGGCGCGAGCAGGUGCGAAAGCAGGUCAUAGUGAUCCGGUGGUUCUGAAUGGAAGGGCCAUCGCUCAACGGAUAAAAGGUACUCCGGGGAUAACAGGCUGAUACCGCCCAAGAGUUCAUAUCGACGGCGGUGUUUGGCACCUCGAUGUCGGCUCAUCACAUCCUGGGGCUGAAGUAGGUCCCAAGGGUAUGGCUGUUCGCCAUUUAAAGUGGUACGCGAGCUGGGUUUAGAACGUCGUGAGACAGUUCGGUCCCUAUCUGCCGUGGGCGCUGGAAGAUUGAGGGGGGCUGCUCCUAGUACGAGAGGACCGGAGUGGACGCAUCACUGGUGUUCGGGUUGUCAUGCCAAUGGCACUGCCCGGUAGCUACAUGCGGAAGAGAUAAGUGCUGAAAGCAUCUAAGC